GGCUCAGGACGAACGCUGGCGGCGUGCUUAACACAUGCAAGUCGAACGGUGAACCCCUUCGGGGGGGAUCAGUGGCGAACGGGUGAGUAACACGUGAGCAACCUGCCCCUGACUCUGGGAUAACCCCGGGAAACCGGAGCUAAUACCGGAUACUAGGCACUUGGGCAUCCGAGUGCUUGGAAAGAUUUAUCGGUCAGGGAUGGGCUCGCGGCCUAUCAGCUUGUUGGUGGGGUAACGGCCCACCAAGGCGACGACGGGUAGCCGGCCUGAGAGGGCGACCGGCCACACUGGGACUGAGACACGGCCCAGACUCCUACGGGAGGCAGCAGUGGGGAAUAUUGCGCAAUGGGCGAAAGCCUGACGCAGCGACGCCGCGUGAGGGAUGAAGGCCUUCGGGUUGUAAACCUCUUUCAGCAGGGAAGAAGCGAAAGUGACGGUACCUGCAGAAGAAGCACCGGCUAACUACGUGCCAGCAGCCGCGGUAAUACGUAGGGUGCAAGCGUUGUCCGGAAUUAUUGGGCGUAAAGAGCUCGUAGGCGGUCUGUCGCGUCUGCUGUGAAAACUCGGGGCUUAACCCCGGGCCUGCAGUGGGUACGGGCAGACUAGAGUGCGGUAGGGGAGACUGGAAUUCCUGGUGUAGCGGUGAAAUGCGCAGAUAUCAGGAGGAACACCGGUGGCGAAGGCGGGUCUCUGGGCCGUAACUGACGCUGAGGAGCGAAAGCGUGGGGAGCGAACAGGAUUAGAUACCCUGGUAGUCCACGCCGUAAACGUUGGGCGCUAGGUGUGGGGCUCUUUCCACGAGUUCCGUGCCGCAGCAAACGCAUUAAGCGCCCCGCCUGGGG
rnacentral:rRNA from 1 species